AUUGAACGCUGGCGGCAGGCCUAACACAUGCAAGUCGAGCGGAUGAAGGGAGCUUGCUCCUGGAUUCAGCGGCGGACGGGUGAGUAAUGCCUAGGAAUCUGCCUGGUAGUGGGGGAUAACGUCCGGAAACGGGCGCUAAUACCGCAUACGUCCUGAGGGAGAAAGUGGGGGAUCUUCGGACCUCACGCUAUCAGAUGAGCCUAGGUCGGAUUAGCUAGUUGGUGGGGUAAAGGCCUACCAAGGCGACGAUCCGUAACUGGUCUGAGAGGAUGAUCAGUCAAACUUGAAACUGAGAACGGGCCAGGAUCCUAAGGGAAGGAGGAGGGGGGAAUUUUUGGCCAAUGGCGGAAAGCUUGACCAAGCAAUCCGGGUGGGUUGAAGAGGGUUUCCGAAUGGAAAACACCUUUAGGUGGGAAGAAAGGGAGUAAGGUAAAAACUUGGUUGUUUGGCGGUACCAACAGAAUAAGCAACGGGUAACUUCGUG
rnacentral:rRNA from 1 species